AGCUAGUCAACCUCGCCCCCUGGUCCCAUCUUCUCCCUCCGUUGCUCUCAUCCCUGCCCCUGUUUACUGACUACAACGUGAGCGACGCUCGCCGUAUAUAAUCCCGAGUGUGGCCGCGGAGCAUCCUCAGAGGACGCGAGAUGGAAAAGGAGCUGUGAGGAAGCAAAACAAGCAUUUUUAGGAAGGAAAAAAACGGAUUUAAGCGAGGAGUUGGAGCGACGUCACCGUCAGUGACGGUUGGAUGCAGAGGACGAGGAUGAAACUAGCUUGAUUGAUUUUGGGGGUAAACACACCGUUUACUCGUUUUAUUUUUUUUAUCGUUAUUUGUGCAGUGAAAGAGGAUUUGAUUCCUCGAAUAUGGACGCAAGCUUUAAGCACUGAGGCCACCCGUUCCCCAGUUGUUCCCCCAUGGCCCUCAUACACGAGCCCCGCGCCCCAUCUCCGUCUCUCUCUGGCUUCAACACCCCACUCUCCGAUCCCCCGUCCUUUCGCCGGCUAGAUGCUGAGACGCCUUGCACCCCUGAAAUGGACCUGACGCCGACUCAGUGCGUCCUUCGAAACGUCCUCUCAAUAGACACGGGUGGCACGGUGGAGCCCGGAAGAGGAGGUGGGGACAUGCCAACUCCCGGGCCCCAUCAGACGCCUGGCGAGGAACAACAAGAGCACUUUGCCAACAGCGUCCUCAAGCUGCACGAACAUGACGGCAGUCCCGCCAGGACAGAGGGAGAGGGGACAGAGACUGAUGGCGGCAUGGUGCGGCGUGAGGCGGACAACACUAGGUUGCAGUGUCAGUCCAAUGGAGGCGGCGGUGGCUUUUUGGAAGGCUUGUUCGGCUGUCUGCGACCUGUUUGGACUAUGAUCGGGAAGGCCUACUCCACGGAACACAAACAUGACCUGGACGAAGCGUGGGAAGUCCCCUUCGAGGAAAUAUCGGAUCUACAGUGGGUAGGCAGUGGCGCCCAGGGUGCCGUCUUCCUGGGCAAGCUGCACGGACAGGAAGUGGCCGUGAAGAAAGUUCGGAACAUCAAGGAAACGGACAUCAAGCACCUCCGAAAGCUCAAACACCCCAACAUCAUUACUUUCAAAGGGAUCUGUACGCAAGCGCCAUGUUACUGCAUCCUCAUGGAGUACUGUGCCCAAGGCCAACUGUAUGAGGUGCUGCGAGCGGGUAGGCAGAUCACGCCAUCGCUCCUCAUGGACUGGGCCAUGGGCGUCGCCGGCGGGAUGAACUACCUUCACCUCCACAAGAUCAUCCACAGAGACCUCAAAUCGCCAAAUAUUCUUAUCACGUAUGACGACGCGGUGAAGAUCUCUGAUUUUGGCACGUCUAAGGAGUUGAGCGACAAGAGCACCAAGAUGUCCUUUGCUGGUACGGUGGCCUGGAUGGCCCCCGAGGUCAUACGGAACGAACCCGUCUCUGAGAAGGUGGACAUUUGGUCUUUCGGCGUUGUGCUUUGGGAGAUGCUGACAGGAGAGGUGCCCUACAAGGACGUGGACUCCUCCGCUAUCAUCUGGGGAGUGGGCAACAACAGCUUGCAGCUGCCCGUACCUGACAGCUGCCCCGACAGCUUCAAACUGCUCUUGAGGCAGAGCUGGAAUUGCAAACCAAGAAACAGACCCUCGUUCCGACAGAUUCUCCUGCAUCUUGAUAUUGCUUCGGCGGACAUUUUGUCGACUCCGCAAGAAACCUACUUCCAAUCACAAGCCGAGUGGAGAGAUGAGGUCAGGCAUCACUUUGAGAAGAUCAAGUCAGAGGGCACGUGUCUUCACCGGUUGGAUGAGGAGCUCAUCAAACGCCGCAGGGAGGAACUGAGACAUGCGCUUGACAUCCGGGAGCACUACGAGAGGAAACUGGAGCGAGCCAACAAUCUCUACAUGGAGCUCAACGCCAUCAUGCUGCAGUUGGAACUCAAGGAGAAAGAGCUGCUCAAGAGGGAGCAGUCGCUGGACAAGAAGUACCCGGGCUGCUUCAAGCACCACAGCUCCAGACAAUCGGCCUCCUCCAACUCCAUGGAGAAACUCAUGAAGAAACGCAACGUGCCUCAGAAGCUGCCCGCGCACAGCAAGAGGUCAGUUAAGCCGGACAUACUGAAGUCAGAAGUGAUCCUUCCCAAACUGGACUCGUCCAUGACUCAGGUGACCAUCCCCACCAAGGGCUCCACAUCGCCGGGCCGCUCUCGCCGAGGCAAGCCUCGCUACAGGAAGGCGGGCAAAGGCGGCGGAAACGAGUUGGCUCAGCUCAAGGCCACACUGUCCUCGUCAUUGGCCGCCAUCAGUGCUGGCACCGGCAAGCAGCGCCUGGACCCCGGCGCCGCACUCAGGGGCCUGCGUCACGACUUGCUGCUCAAGAAGAUGUCGUCCUCCAGCCCUGACCUCAUCUCCACCACGCUGGAAGCGGAGGAGCGCCGCAAGGGCCGGCCCGGACCCGGCCUGGACCGGGCGGGCAGCCGGAGCGCCUCGGCCGGGCUAGAGGAAGACGGCCCGGACCCUGGCCCCGACACUGGCGGGGAAGAACUGGCGGAAACGCCCCCGCGCAGUGACACGCCCAGCGAAGACGCCGCCUCCGUCCCGUUCGUUAGCAGCCCCGACUCGCCCUGCGGCAGGGGGGCGGCGGCUGCGAGGCCCCCGUCCACCGGAUCGCCCCGCGUUCCACAGGACGGCGAGGAAAAGGAGGAGGGUGUCGUCAUCACGCGUUCGCCUAGAAGUCAGCGACUCACGCCGUCGGCGCUGCUCUACAGGGCGGCCGUCACGCGUAGUCAGAGGCGCGGCGUGUCCUCCGAAGAGGAAGAAGGCGAGGUGGACAGCGAAGUGGAGCUGCCAACAAGAUGGAGGCCGGCAAGUAUGAGCAAGUGCCAGUCGCUGUCCACGUUCAGCUCGGAGAACCUUUCCGUGUCGGACGGCGAGGAAGGCAACACCACAGAACGCUCGCACAGCGGCACUCCCGAUGCAGUCAGCACCAACACGGACGAGCGUCUGGACGACAAGAGUGACGACCUCCUCUCACAAGGAUCCGAAAUACCCGCCGACCCCUCCGACCCGGCUCGCCGCGCCGCCUCCGACGGUCUCUCUGAGAAGGAAGCCGCCGUGCGACGCGUCCGGACGCAGCUAGCCGGACACGAGCUCAACGACGACGUUCUCUAUGAUGACUCAGACUGCGACAGCGCCGAGCUGGACCAACCGGGCUGCGUGGAGCCCAGCCAGAACUGGUGAAAUGAAAAAACGGCCCAAACCGGAUCAAAGAUAGGCUUUGUCGAUCACCUCGUCAACACGCACUGGCGGAGGUGCAGUAGGAAGGAGGGAGUAGGAAGAAAGUUCUUGGUCGUGUGCAGAUGACUGAGGUAUUGCUCGUGUCGCGUUCAAGAACCGCUCGGAUUUCUAGACACCAGCCACCUUGCUGUCCGCGACAAUGUGGACCCCAGCACGUCUACUGUAUUUGAUUAGACCUGUCAAGUGUCUAUAUACACACAAGUGCCCCUUCUAUUUUAUCCAUAUGUGAUGACCGCCAAUCCUCCCCCUGUGUUUUAUUCCUACACAUUGAGGACAGCAAGGUGGCUGAUGGCUAGAAAUCCGAGCAGUUCUUGAACGUUCUUGAGUUCAGUUCUUGAGCUCUCCAACAGCGCCAAGGUGCCACGCAAGCUUAAAAGUCAUCUCCAAACGAAACACCCAUCGCUUCAAAACAAGUUGAUGGACUAUUUUGUUCGCCUUUGUGAAAAAGAGAAACAGGCAAUUUUUUUUUUUUUUUUCUUAGAAAAACUACAAAGGUAAAUUAGAAAGCUCUCAAAGCCAGUUACCUUGUUACUGAACUUGUUGCUUAAUUUAAAAAGUCCCAUUUGGCAGAGAAAUUAAUACUACCUGCCUACAAAGUAAUUUUCAGCAAGAUGCACGGCCCUGAUGCAGUUCAAGACAUAGUUAAAGUCCCCCUGUCUUAUAAUUCUGAGCUUUUCAAGCCGAACUGCUAUAAAAAAUAAAACCAGAGUGAGACUGAGAGCUGUUGAAGAAGAUUAUCGGCUUUGUGUUCAUCUAAACAGACUCAAGUUUCGCACUGUGUAAAUAUAAAUACAGAGAAAUUAUUUUUUUUCAUUAAAUACACUGUACAGAAAGUAAUUUUGGAACAUUUUUGAUCUGUGGUGUGCUGUGAGAUUUUUUCCAAUGUAAAAACGUGUCGUGACACAGAAAAGGUUGAAAAACACUGAUUUAUCAUACUGACCAGUGUUGUUUUUGGCAGCCAUUUUAAUUGUUGUAUUAAUCUUAGUCUUUUGGACAAAAAUACUUAUUAGUCUUAGUCAUAAUUAAGUCAUUUCCAAAUGUUUUCAUCUCCAUCAAGUUUUAGUCAACGAAAUGUCAAACAGUCGACAAGUACUCAAAAUUUUUUCGUCUUUAAAAUUCAAAGGUUUUUGUCCAAAAAUGAAUAAAGGUUUCCAACCAUUUCGUAUCUACAUACUACAUAGACAGAUGAGCACAUAUUGUAGCGUCUACAAGGACAAUACCAACUUUGGGGUUAGGCAUGUGCCGGUAUGAGAUUCUGACGGUAUGAUAAUUUUAAACCAAAAUAUCACAGUGUUACAAUUACAGUUCUAAAAUGUGCUACUUUGAGAUAUCUGGGGUUUAAAAAAAGAAAAAAAAAUCCAUUGAACAGGAUUUUUAUUUUUCAAAACAUACCAGCAAACUGGAACAUAAAUAUAAUGUUAAAUUAAAAUAAAUGGGAAAAAAAAAUCCAAAUAAAAUAAAUGCAGUCCUUUAGAUGAGCCUAAACCCACAGCCACAGUUCAACAGUAUUACCAUCAGAACAAAUACAAUUGAAUUAUUUUCCAUAAAAAGCACAUGUGUAUGACUUGUAUCAUGUUUACAUUAUACACACACUCUCUUUCUCAACACAGACAGUUGCCAGAGAGAAAAAAACACCACGUUUUACCACCGGUAGCCACACUAAACACUAGGAGUGGGAACCUCGUGUUACCUCACGAUACGAUACGAUUUGCGAUACAGACCUCACGAUAACGAUGAUCUGAUGAUAUGGUGAUACAACGAUUAUCGAUAGACUGGUCAGGAAAUCAUUCUAGGAUAUUCUACAAACAACUAAUACAAAGAAAAACAAGCUUCUGCUGUGAAUUGGAAUGAUGCAUUUUUGGGACAUAAAAAAUAGCAAAUACCGCUGGGAGAAGUGUUCCGAGCAUGUCCCACCGGCGGGAGGCCCCGGGGACGAUCCAGGACACGCUGAAUAGACUAUGUCUCUCGGCUGGCCUGGGAACGCCUUGGGAUCCCGCUUGAAGAGCUGGUUGAAGUGGCUGGGGUGAGGAAAGUCUUGGCUUCCCCCUUAAAGCUGCUGCCCUUCCGACCCGACCCUGGAUUAAGCGAAAGUGGAUGGAUGGAUGGAUGGA